GACGAACGCUGGCGGCGUGCUUAACACAUGCAAGUCGAGCGGAAAGGCCCUUUCGGGGGUACUCGAGCGGCGAACGGGUGAGUAACACGUGAGUAAUCUGCCCCUGGCUUUGGGAUAGCCACCGGAAACGGUGAUUAAUACCGGAUACGACCACUUCUCGCAUGGGAUGGUGGUGGAAAGUUUUUCGGCCAGGGAUGUGCUCGCGGCCUAUCAGCUUGAUGGUGAGGUAAUGGCUCACCAUGGCUUCGACGGGUAGCCGGCCUGAGAGGGUGACCGGUCAAACUGGGACUGAGACACGGCCCAGACUCCUACGGGAGGCAGCAGUGGGGAAUAUUGGACAAUGGGCGGAAGCCUGAUCCAGCAACGCCGCGUGAGGGAUGACGGCCUUCGGGUUGUAAACCUCUUUCAGCAGGGACGAGGCGCAAGUGACGGUACCUGCAGAAGAAGCACCGGCCAACUACGUGCCAGCAGCCGCCGUAA
rnacentral:rRNA from 1 species